rnacentral:rRNA from 1 species
UACGUAGGGGGCAAGCGUUGUCCGGAUUUAUUGGGCGUAAAGAGCGUGUAGGCGGCUAGGUAGGUCCGUUGUGAAAACUCGAGGCUCAACCUCGAGACGCCGAUGGAAACCAUGUGGCUAGAGUCCGGAAGAGGAGAGUGGAAUUCCUGGUGUAGCGGUGAAAUGCGCAGAUAUCAGGAGGAACACCAAUGGCGAAGGCAGCUCGCUGGGACGGUACUGACGCUGGAGACGCGAAAGCGUGGGGAGCAAACAGG